rnacentral:rRNA from 1 species
GACGAACGCUGGCUGCGUGCUUAACACAUGCAAGUCGAACGGAAAGGCCCUGCUUUUGUGGGGUGCUCGAGUGGCGAACGGGUGAGUAACACGUGAGUAACCUGCCCUUGACUUUGGGAUAACUUCAGGAAACUGGGGCUAAUACCGGAUAGGAGCUCCUGCUGCAUGGUGGGGGUUGGAAAGUUUCGGCGGUUGGGGAUGGACUCGCGGCUUAUCAGCUUGUUGGUGGGGUAGUGGCUUACCAAGGCUUUGACGGGUAGCCGGCCUGAGAGGGUGACCGGCCACAUUGGGACUGAGAUACGGCCCAGACUCCUACGGGAGGCAGCAGUGGGGAAUAUUGCACAAUGGGCGGAAGCCUGAUGCAGCAACGCCGCGUGCGGGAUGACGGCCUUCGGGUUGUAAACCGCUUUCGCCUGUGACGAAGCGUGAGUGACGGUAAUGGGUAAAGAAGCACCGGCUAACUACGUGCCAGCAGCCGCGGUGAUACGUAGGGUGCGAGCGUUGUCCGGAUUUAUUGGGCGUAAAGGGCUCGUAGGUGGUUGAUCGCGUCGGAAGUGUAAUCUUGGGGCUUAACCCUGAGCGUGCUUUCGAUACGGGCUGACUUGAGGAAGGUAGGGGAGAAUGGAAUUCCUGGUGGAGCGGUGGAAUGCGCAGAUAUCAGGAGGAACACCAGUGGCGAAGGCGGUUCUCUGGGCCUUUCCUGACGCUGAGGAGCGAAAGCGUGGGGAGCGAACAGGCCUAGAUACCCUGGUAGUCCACGCUGUAAACGGUGGGUACUAGGUGUGGGGUCCAUUCCACGGGUUCCGUGCCGUAGCUAACGCUUUAAGUACCCCGCCUGGGGAGUACGGCCGCAAGGCUAAAACUCAAAGGAAUUGACGGGGCCCCGCACAAGCGGCGGAGCAUGCGGAUUAAUUCGAUGCAACGCGUAGAACCUUACCUGGGUUUGACAUGGAUCGGGAGUGCUCAGAGAUGGGUGUGCCUCUUUUGGGGUCGGUUCACAGGUGGUGCAUGGCUGUCGUCAGCUCGUGUCGUGAGAUGUUGGGUUAAGUCCCGCAACGAGCGCAACCCUUGUUCACUGUUGCCAGCACGUUAUGGUGGGGACUCAGUGGAGACCGCCGGGGUCAACUCGGAGGAAGGUGGGGAUGACGUCAAGUCAUCAUGCCCCUUAUGUCCAGGGCUUCACGCAUGCUACAAUGGCUGGUACAGAGAGUGGCGAGCCUGUGAGGGUGAGCGAAUCUCGGAAAGCCGGUCUCAGUUCGGAUUGGGGUCUGCAACUCGACCUCAUGAAGUCGGAGUCGCUAGUAAUCGCAGAUCAGCAACGCUGCGGUGAAUACGUUCCCGGGGCU